rnacentral:rRNA from 1 species
UACGGGGGGGGGCAAGCGUUGUUCGGAAUUACUGGGCGUAAAGGGCCAGUAGGCGGCCAACUAAGUCGGAUGUGAAAUCCCCAGGCUCAACUUGGGAACUGCAUCCGAUACUGGAUGGCUUGAAUUCGGGAGAGGGAUGCAGAAUUCCAGGUGUAGCGGUGAAAUGCGUAGAUAUUGGGAGGAACACCAGUGGCGAAGGCGGCUCACUGGACCGGAACUGACGCUGAGGAGCGAAAGCGUGGGGAGCGAACAGG